UGCAGUCGAACGGCAGCACGGACUUCGGUCUGGUGGCGAGUGGCGAACGGGUGAGUAAUGUAUCGGAACGUGCCUAGUAGCGGGGGAUAACUACGCGAAAGCGUAGCUAAUACCGCAUACGCCCUACGGGGGAAAGCAGGGGAUCGCAAGACCUUGCACUAUUAGAGCGGCCGAUAUCGGAUUAGCUAGUUGGUGGGGUAACGGCUCACCAAGGCGACGAUCCGUAGCUGGUUUGAGAGGACGACCAGCCACGCUGGGACUGAGACACGGCCCAGACUCCUACGGGAGGCAGCAGUGGGGAAUUUUGGACAAUGGGGGAAACCCUGAUCCAGCCAUCCCGCGUGUGCGAUGAAGGCCUUCGGGUUGUAAAGCACUUUUGGCAGGAAAGAAACGUCAUGGGCUAAUACCCCGUGAAACUGACGGUACCUGCAGAAUAAGCACCGGCUAACUACGUGCCAGCAGCCGCGGUAAUACGUAGGGUGCAAGCGUUAAUCGGAAUUACUGGGCGUAAAGCGUGCGCAGGCGGUUCGGAAAGAAAGAUGUGAAAUCCCAGAGCUUAACUUUGGAACUGCAUUUUUAACUACCGGGCUAGAGUGUGUCAGAGGGAGGUGGAAUUCCGCGUGUAGCAGUGAAAUGCGUAGAUAUGCGGAGGAACACCGAUGGCGAAGGCAGCCUCCUGGGAUAACACUGACGCUCAUGCACG
rnacentral:rRNA from 1 species